rnacentral:lncRNA from 1 species
UUGUGACACUGCACUCCAGCCUGGGCAACAGAGCAAAACUCCGUUUCAAAAAAAACAAACAAACAAACUGUUAAGCUCUCUAGACCUAAAUAUGCUUAUGAAAAACACAUUUUGCUGCUAAAAAGGAAUGGGACAAUAACAAAAAAAGAGAAUUCUAGAUAAAACUUGUUAGAACAAUUUGUCUUGGGAAAUUCUGAAAUGAAAACCUUUAGUCCUUGACUAAAGAGGUUUCCAUCUUUGGAAAAUAUACCAAAUUCAAGAUAGGCUGGAAUCGAGUUGUACUGUGCAUUUGGGUCAGUAUGAGAGUCUUGUGCUGAUAAUUUGUUCCUCUCCUAAACACGGAAACGUUUUAUUAAGUCUAUCCAAAGGACUUUUGCAAUUUUCUAGUCAAAUCUCUUCCACGAAGUGUUUGAUAAACAGCCAUUGACCCUCUUCAGGGUCAAUCUGGAGGAGUAGGGAAAGGUGGGAAGUGUGGGGGAGGGUUUCCCAUGAAGAAAGCAUCUGACCUAUGUCUUAGACAUAGAGUAGGGUGCCAGUGGAUGGAGAAAGGAAUGAAGGACAUCCCUGGUUAGUUGAAUAGCACAACAUAUUGAGAGAGAUGAUUGAAACAUAUUGUGUUUGCAGAAAAUCCAGUAAUUUUAUAUUGUGGGGACAAAACUUAGGAAAAGAUGUAAUGGGGGAUAAAGAUAGGAAAUAUAUUUUGGGAAAGUGGUGAAUUUUCUGCAGGCCACCACAAGGAAUUUGAAGUUUAUUCUGAAAGCAAUGAAGAGUUCAAUCAAGCUAAUAAUGGGAAGCCUCCCACUAUUCUUGAAGUUUAAAUAAAAUUUUCUUUCCUCUGGAGACAGAUGAAUGAAUGAAUGACUAAAGGAAUCACUGCCACAAGUUUCUUUAUUUUUUUAAUGCAAAAAUAAUUUUAUUAUUCAUUGUUUCCAUUUUGCACACUGCUUGGGAAAGGGAUCCAGGAUGAAAUGACCCAUGGGGUCCAGAGGCUCCUUGUGCUGGAGAAUGAGUCUUUCAAAGAGGUAUUCACCCAGCCUGCUUGUGGAGGAGGUUAGCCAAGUGGUCAUCCAAAAGUGGCCCACACCCUCCAGGGUGACAUCUUUCCAGUGGAAAUAGAAGUCCAGAGAAAGGUGUAAGAAACCCGCGAUGCUGGGGACCUGGUGGUUAACAGUAGUGACCUACACUCUGAGUCAGAGUAAUGUGUUGCUUGUGGUGCUCAUGGUUGGUUGGUAACAAGGAACUGAUACACAUACACACACACCCCAUAACCCCAUGAAUACAACAGCAACACAAAGUAAAAGGCAUUAACUGAUCCUGGAAGCUAGGCCUUAGAUGAGAAGAUGGUCCUGGAGGUUGCUACUGGAGAGGAGAUUGGAGCGUGGUUAGAGAUGAAGGGUCAGAGUCCCCAGAGUCUGUGGCAUGCAAAUACUGUUGAAACAAACAGUGGAUCCACUGGACCAGUGCAUGUCUUGUGCCUUUGCACACUUUUUUACAUGCACGUAACCAAGGAUGGCUUCAAGAUCAUGGCCCAAUUAUUAAUCGAGAAAAAGGGAUACAUAAAGUAAGAGCAUGAUGGUGCUUAUCCUAGUGGAGACUUCUCCCUUGGUUGCCAUAGUCAUUGACUAAGCACUUCGUGGGAAUAAAUGUUCCAAUAGCAGAGACUUCCACCAUUAGCAGAACCAUCAGCUCAUAUUUAUUUCACUGCAUAUUUCACUCGAUUACUUGAAAAGACAUAUUUUUAGAGAUAAACUACACUGGGACAGAUAUCAUAACACCGUAGUUUUUUUUGCUAAUUCACAUAUAUUAUUUCUGGCCUUUCCAGAUAUAAAAUAGAAUAAUUAUGGCAAGGAUAAUUGCCACAACUUUAAAGAAAAGGAAACCCGAAUUUAAGAGGGAUUAAAUAAUUUGCUUGAGGCUACAUAAUAAGGGGAACCCAAACCCAAAAGGGACACAAACCCAAAUGUUUCCAGUUCUGAGCCCAUCAUUUUUUCUAAAACGUUACAAUAAAUCCUAAAUAUAUUUUGAUUAAAAAUUAUAAAUGUAUAUUUUGACAAAAUGUGGUCCAUCAGAACAGUGAAAGAAUGCUGUGCACAGUAGGCAAAUACGUUAAUUUUUUCCAAAUCUGUAUUGAUACAUCAGUCAAAUGCAUGUAGGAGACAAAGCAGCCUAUAAUGUUUAACACAGCCAGUGUGGAAAGACUACCUAAAAAUGCUGGGAAAAUUAUUAUUUUACUAGGAAACAUACUCUUCACCUCCAUUUGUCUUUGGAGACAUAGCACAAGAAAUUUGCCUGAGGAGCAAUUUUGUGAAGCAAAAGAUGCAGACAAAUUUUAAGGAAGCCACAAGAGGCUAGGGAAGAAAAAUGCCCAAGGAAAUGUCAAUAAAACAAAUGUAUUUAAUCUCUGAAUGGUUAUUUAAAUGGAACUUUUCUUCUACUUUGAAGCUUAAUAACAGUUUAUUGUUUUAAAAAAUCUAUCUUGAUUAUGCAUAAUGACAGGGUAUAUAUCUUUGUUCAAUUUCCCUCACUAGGCUCUGGAGGUUAAAUCACCCCCAUAUUCUUUACAAUAGUAUUUCUUGGUUCAAUUCCCCUUUCCCCACAAACAGGGACAUUCAUAGUGCCAUGUGUGUAAGAGGUACCCAUGAAAUAUGUGCUACUGAUCUGAAGUCUGACUUAGCUUUAUUAUCCUGGCAGCAACUGUAUAUGCCAUGAAAUGGACAGAGAGGAGAAGUAGCAAACAAACUCCCAGAUAAUAAAAGACUUCAUAAUUAGGCACUGAAUAGUUGAGAAAUAUUUGAAAUUAAAUAUAGUUGCCUACAAAUAUUAAGCUAAUUAGUCAUGUAUUUUUAUAACAUCCACAAUUGUUAACCACAGGCUGAAACAAGUGCUCUAUGUUAUCAUCUUUUCAUUUUAAGAAGAUUAAUCUUUCCUUUUUCUUCCUUUUUUUUUUCUUCAGCACAAUAAAGUCUUCAUAUAAGAUGGGGGUAAUAAUAGAACCUACUUUUUGGUGUAAUUUUGAAAAUCAAGUGAGAUGAUCCACUAAAAGUGCGUACCAUGUUGACAGCAAUGUCAGCGUAUUUUGUGGUAGGUUGUUCAUAUUGGAUCCUUAUCUUUACCAGGCACUGGCCUAAGUGCCUUACCUAAAUUAUCUCUUUUUAUCUUGACCCGCUUAUUUUGGAUAGGGUUCAUGGUCACAGAGCUAAUUAAUGUUAAUGACAAUAUUUGAUCCUAUGUUGUCUCAUUUUAGUUUCUUAAUUCUUAAUACCAUAGUGCUUCUCAGUUUGGAUAUCUGUGACUUGUUCUACUUUCUCUUUGUAAGCAGCAAGCUCAGCUCUGCUGUGUUUUAUAACAGUGUUUUAUAACAUGAUUUUCAGAUGUAGAAAACACUUAGAUCCUUCGAGUUACUUGAGUGAAGUCCUUCAGCAAUAAAUCAUCAAUGCAAAUAUCUCACAUUAAUGUUAAAAUUUGAUAUGGUUUGGCUCUGCAUCCCCACCCAAAUCUCACCUUAAAUUGUAAUCCCCAUGUGUCAAGGGAGGGACCUGGUGGGAGGUGAUUUGAUCAUGGGGGUGAUUUCCCCCAUGCUGUUCUUGUAAUAGUGAGUGAGUUCUCAUGACAGCUGAUGGUUUAAACAUGUUUGGCAAUACCCCCUCUCCCUUUUGCCACCUUGUGAAGAAGGUGCUUGCUUCCCCUUUGCGUUCUGCCAUGACUGUGAGUUUCCAGAGGUCUCCCCAGCCAUGUGGAACUGUGAGUCAGUUAAACCUCUUUCCUUUAUAAAUUUCCUAGUCUCAAGUAGAUCUUUAUAGCAGUGUGAAAAUGGACUAGUACAGAAAAUUUAUGCUGGGAGUUUGGGGCACUGCUAAGAAAAUAUCUGAAAAUGUAGAAGUGACUUUAGAACUGGGUAACGGGUAGAGAUUGGAACAGUUUGAAGGACUCAGAAGAAGACAGAAAAAUGUGGGAAAGUUUGGAACUUCCUAGAGACUUGUUGAAUGGUUUUGACCAAAAUGCUGAUAGUGAUAUGAACAAUAAAGUCUAGACUGAGGUGGUCUCAGAUGGAGAUGAGGAACUUACUGGGAACUGGAGCGAAUGUCACUCUUGAUAUACUUUAGCAAAGAGACUGGCAGCAUUUUGCCCCUGCUCUAGAGAUCUGUGGAACUUUGAACAUGAGAGAGAUGAUUUAGGGUAUCUGGCAGAAGAAAUUUCUAAGCAUUGCAUUCAAGGUGUGACCUGGUUGUUUCUAAAAGCAUAUGGUCACAUGCAUUUACAAAGAUGAUCUGAAAUUGGAACUUAUAUCUAGAAGGGAAGUGGAGCAUAAAAGUUUGGAAAAUUUGCAGCAGACCAUGUGGUAUAACAUAAAAACCCAUUUUCUGGGGAGAAAUUCAAUCUGGCUGCAGAAAUUUGCAUAAGUAAUGAGGAGCUGAAUGGAAACCACCAAGACAAUGGGGAAUAUGUCUCCAGGACAUUUCAGAGACCUUCAGAUAGCCCCUCUCAUAACAGGCUUGGGGGUCUAGGAGGGAAAAAUGGUUUCCUGGGCCAGGGACAGGCCCAGGGCCCUGCUGCUCUUUGCAGCUUCGGGACAUUGUGCCCUGUACCCCAGCCACUCCACCUCUUGGCCAUGACUAAAAGGGGCCAAGGUAUAGCUUGGGCUGUUGCUUCAGAGGGUGCAAGCCCCAAGCCUUGGUGGCUUUCAUAUGGUGUUGUGCCUGUGGGUGUGCAGAAGACAAGAGUUGAGCUUUGGGAACCUCUGCCUCAAUUUCAGAGGAUGUAUGGAAACACCUGGAUGUCCAGGCAGAAGUCUGCUGCAUGGGAGGAGCCUACAUGGAGAACCUCUACUAUGGCAAGGCAUAGGGGAAAUGUGGGGUUGGAGUCCCCACACAGAGUCCCCACUGGGGCACUACCUAGUGGAGCUGUGAAAAGAGGACCACUGUCCUCCAGACCCUUGAAAUGCAGAUCCACUGACAGCUUGCAUUGUGCACCUGGAAAUGCAGGCACUCAAGGCCAGCCCAUGAAAGCAGCUGCAGGGGCUGCACCCUGCAGGGCCACAGGAGUGGAGCUGCCCAACUCCUUGAAAGACCACCCUUUCCUUGUAUCAUCAUGCCUUGGAUGUGAGACAUGGAGUCAAGGGAGAUCAUUUCAGAGCUUUAAUAUUUAAUGACUGCCCCACUGGGUUUUGGACUUGCAUGGGGCCUAUGGCCCCUUUUAUUGGUCUAUUUCUCCCAUUUGUAAUGGGAGAACUUACCUAAUUCUUGUACUUUUAUUGUAUCUUGGAAGUAACUUACUUGCUUUUGAUUUUAUGUGCUCAUAGGUGGAAAGGGACUUGCCUUGUCUCAGGCGAGACUUUGGACUUAUACUUUUGGGUUAACGCUGGAAUGAGUUUAGACUUUGGGGGACUGUUGGAAAGCAUGAUUGUAUUCUGAAAUGUGAGAAAGACAUGAGAUUUGGGAGGAACCAGAGAUGGAAAUGAUAUGGUUUGGCUCUGUGUCCCCACCUAAAUGUCAUCUCUAAUUGUAAUCCUCAUGUGUUGAGGGAAGGUCCUGGUGGGUGGUGAUUAGAUCAUAGGGGCGGUUUCCCCUAUGCUGUUCUCAUGAUAAUGAGUGAGUUCUCAAGAUCUGAUGGUUUAAAAGUGUUUGGCAGAUCCCCACCACCACCACCACCUCUUCUGCUGCCUUGUAAAGAAGGUACUUGCUUGCCUUUUACCUUCCACCAUGAUUGUAAGUUUCCUGAGGCCUCCCCAGCCUUUUUUCUUUAUAAAUUACCCAGUCUCAAGUAGCUCUUUAUAGCAGUGUGAAAAUGGACAAAUACAAAAUUCAUUAAAAUACCUCCAAAUUUAAUAUGGAAUUAUGUUUACAUUUAAGUUAUCAAUAUCAAAAGCUCUAUCAGUUGUCAAUAAAUAUAACUGGGAAUGUCCUAGAAGUAAAUGGUUACCCUUUUUCCUUCAUUGCUGCAACAAGAAACAUUGUUCUGGUGGAACAUUUCACAAAAUUAUGAAUGUUUUGAAAGAAAGAAAUAUGAAAUCCCUUGGAUUUUACUAAUAUACACAGUUCUCAUAAUAUACAACUUAUUUACCAUGCUGGAGAAAUAGCAACCAUAAAAACAGCUGCAAUUAAAAUGUUACUAAAGCUUUUGUACAAAUGGUAGAUUAUUAAAAACAAAAUGUUAUACCGAUAAUUUAAGGGACAAUAUUGAGUUUCUGUAUUUUUCCCUUUAAAGGCUGUAGGUUUAUGCUUGACUAAUCCUUUUGACAGUAUCCCUGGCAAUAAUAUUUUUUGAAGUAGUUGGUGUUCAAUAUUUGUAAUUUCAUGUUUCCCAACAGUCUGUUUUUCCUUGUUUAUUUAAAUAAAAAACUGUAAAACAGCCACGGGAAAAUCGAAGAAAUAUAAAAUCUAUCACAGUUUAAGUAAUGUGUCUGUGUCAAAGUAAAGAGUUAUGUCUGAGGACACAACUGUCUCAUUCAGAGGACUACUGUAAUUUAAAGAGAAUAUUUUAUUCUACUGAAAGUCAUAUGGAUUAUAUAAAUCCUGCAUCCUGCACCUAGCACCGAAUCCCAGCUGUUAACAUAAUAUUUAGCUGCUAGUCUAACGCUAUUAACACCUAGGAGGAUCUCAAAAAAUAUUUAUUGAAUGUAUAAAUUCUGGCUACUUAACAGAAACACUGUAGAUGUGUGUGUGUGUGUGAGAGAGAGAAAGUGUGUGUGUGUGUGUGUGUAAGUGUAUGUGUAUGUGCGGUUUUUAGAUGGGAAAGACUAAUUUAUACACCAUCAAAUGAAAAAAUAAGGUUUUUAAAAAAGGCUUCCGUGGCAAAGGCUUUGAAAGUAAAAGGUUAUAAGCAGUUUAGAAUCCAAACAUGAGUAUAAAAGGUAAGUGUGAAUGAUAAGUUCAUACAGUGUAACUGUCUUUUAAUGUCCUCUAUUUGGAUACUUUAUUUUGUAGACAUUGUUGCCUUAAGAUAUUUGUUGAAGUAUGAAUUUUCUGGAUAAAAUUUAAUGUAAUUUUUAAAAAAAGUAACGAUGCUCAAUUACAUUGUUUAAACAAGUUUGAACUAGGAAAUAUGUUAUACAAGGAUACAUAUUUUCUCUCAAGACUUCACAUAUCUGAGCAUUUUGCAAUUUCUAUAGAAAACAUCAUCUUGUAUGAGGAGAGAGGGCAUUUUAAACUGCAUAGGCAAUUCCAUCUAGUUUUAAAUAGGUUGUGUUUUAGAAGUUUAUUUGAAAGUUAAUUUUUUGGAAGUUAUAACCUAUUUUCUUGUGGAAGCAAUGUGAGAAAUAGGACUUGGAUUCCCAGGAUGCCAGAUGGUGUCAUGGCUUGUCCAAGCAAUUUAAUGUAAAAGCUAGUGCUCUGGAGGAAGAAAGAUCAGUAUUCAAAUUUCCAACUCUCUAAAUAUUAGUUUCCUUCACUAUAAAAUUGUGCUAAUUAUAGCACACACUUCAUUGCAUCUAUGUGGAUUAAAUGAGGUAAUGUAUUAUUAAGUAAACUGCAGUAUUACUCAAUUUUUUCAAGGAAGCCAUUGUUAGCUAUGAUUGUCACAAAUCCUGUUAAAAUCCACAUUCCCAUUCUAUUUUUAAUAUCUUUAUUGUAUCCUUUCCCUUUGGGGACCCAGAUAUUGACAAUGUUUAAAAAUUAUCCACAAAAUUCUCUGCUGUGCCAGGUAAGACUUCAUGCCUUUCCUUAUGUUCUUUUCUCAGCUGGAAAUGAAUCCAUCUACUUUUUGCAUUCAGGUCCCAGCUCAAAUUGCUACUUCCUCAAAAGACAUUUUUCCUAUAUGGAGAACCGUUAAGAAAAAUUCAAAUGUUGGAGAAGUGCUAAAUGCUAAGCAGAAGUAGUUUUAGAGCUUAAAAAGGCCUUUAGAUUUGUUGGUUUUGUCUGCUUUUAGGGGUGGGUGAAGCAGGUAGUCAGUGUAACAGUGGAUCCUGGAUUAGUAAAGCAUCUAACACAGAAGAAUGAAGUUACAUGGAAAUCAAGCUGAAGCUAUGUGAUGCAUAGAACUAAGCCAUAUAUGGGCAGACACAUGCUCCAGUUCAUUGUUAUAAUCAUGCCAUCUAGUACAGGGCUAGCUGUUCAUUAACUGACUUGGUUACUUGUUUAAACAGGAGAGAUGGAAGGAUGAAGGGAGAAAAUGGAAAAUUAAGUUGUAUGGAAAUCCAAAAGUCUGUAUUAAACUAUACUCACUGAAAUAAAAUGUCACCAAAGGUAAUGAUUCUACAUAAAGUAAAACCACCUGCUUGGUGCCUCUGUUUUAUUCUCUGACCUGUGUUCAUCUUUUACCUGUUUGUUUUCGACCUAAACAGAUACACGUGUGUAAGACAGACUGAAGAAAUAAAACAAGAUGCAGAAUUUAUGCAGUCUCAGAAUAAGGCAUAUAAAUAUAAAUAAUAUUUAAUAGUUAUUUUAUGUUAUAUAUUAUAUUAAUAGCAUAUUAUAAAUUAAUACAUUAUAAUAUUAAUAUAUUAAUAAUAUAAUAUAGGAAUCAUAUAAUGAUGUAAAAAUGGGGAACUAUCAAUAAAUAUUAAAAAGUUGGCUGAAGUGCAUUAGAGACAAUUUAAAACAAAACAAGUUAUUAAAGAAAGAUACUGUGGAAAGUGAGCUGUACUGGCAAGAUUGCUGAAUUUUUCAAAUUUCUU